AGUGUGAGUCCUUGGGCUACAACACAGGACUCGGGCGCUGUUCUGACCCCUCGUGUCUUGUGUUGCAGCCGGAGGGACACA
rfam:Heterocephalus glaber contig224670, whole genome shotgun sequence.